rnacentral:rRNA from 1 species
AACGAACGCUGGUGGCAGGCUUAACACAUGCAAGUCGAGCGCCCCGCAAGGGGAGCGGCAGACGGGUGAGUAACGCGUGGGAAUCUACCCAUCUCUACGGAAUAACGCAUGGAAAUGUGUGCUAAUACCGUAUACGUCCUUCGGGAGAAAGAUUUAUCGGAGAUGGAUGAGCCCGCGUUGGAUUAGCUAGUUGGUGGGGUAAAGGCCUACCAAGGCGACGAUCCAUAGCUGGUCUGAGAGGAUGAUCAGCCACACUGGGACUGAGACACGGCCCAGACUCCUACGGGAGGCAGCAGUGGGGAAUAUUGGACAAUGGGCGCAAGCCUGAUCCAGCCAUGCCGCGUGAGUGAUGAAGGCCCUAGGGUUGUAAAGCUCUUUCACCGGUGAAGAUAAUGACGGUAACCGGAGAAGAAGCCCCGGCUAACUUCGUGCCAGCCGCCGCCGUAAGAC